GUUCUAGUGCGACGUAAAUGAACUACAAACAAACAAACAAGACUUCACAAAGGCUUAAAAGCCGAACUUUUGAAAUUGAGCACAAAAGCUUGCGUGUAUGUGUACCAAAAGAUAAAUAAAUAUAUCAGAAAUAAAGGAGGGUCACAAUUUAUAGUAGAGAUUUAAAAUGUUGGAUUUAAUCAAGAUAAAUGAAGUUAUUGAUAUUUUCCUCAUUCUCUGGAAUAACGCUUCGUACUAAUAAAAAUUUCGUGAUAAAAUCUAAAGGUGAAUCACUUCCUAAUGGUAAAGUUGCAAUCAAGUUAGAUUUUGCUUGAAGUCAGACACUAAAAAACAGGCUGAUUGAAGUGUGCAGGAAACCUGGUUUGGAGAAUUUUAACAGCGAAAAACAAGAAUAGCAUGGCUCAUACAAGUUACUGCUUAGCAGAUUUCUAUCUUCAGCUGUUUUUCCUCCUAACUCACAUGAAGUCUGCUAAGACCAUUGAAACACCAUAGCCAUAAUGAUGGAAAUAAGAGAAAAAAGUAGCAUGUCUCUGUCUCAUACUUUCACAUGAUAGAGAGCUAGAGGUCCAUUACCUUCCAGCAAUAGGUGUAUUAUUGACUGCAGAUCCUUUCAUAUAUUUAAAAAGGCAUUCUGACUGGUGUAAGAUAUAGGAAUGAUAUCUUGGAACAAUAUGCUUACGUUUAUAGGGGAGAAAAAAACUUUCUACAAUCAAUUGAUUUACUCUUGAAACAAAUUCCAACCCUUUCAUCACCAUGUACUUUUACCAAAAAUUGUUUUAAAAAAUGUUAGGUUUUAUUGAACUCUAUAUUGAUUUAUACCGGGAUGAGUUUGGUAAAAAACCUAUAUCUAAAAAUGUUAAGCGCAAAGUACACUUUUUAAAAUACAUGAAGUUCGAGCAAAAAAAAAAAAAAAUUAUGUAUGAAGCAAUUUAUACACAGAAUAUUAUCAAGGUUUUGAUUAAGAUAUCCGCGCCGGAUUUUAUUUAAAAUAUGUGAAUAUGAACAUCAAUGCUUCUUUUUAUUACUCUUUCGCCUAAAUACAAAUUCUGAUGUAUAAUUUUUAAGUGAAUUAAACACAAAUCAAAAUAGUGGCUUUUAAAUCAUGCAUGUAUAAAACACAAUAUUUGAUAUAAAUCAUGUAAACACAAAUCGCAAUGUGCGAUUUUAAAUAUGAAUGUAAUUUUAGAUGCGUUUGCGUAGAUAGGAAAAAGCUUAAAAACGAAUAUUUUUUUCUUGGAAAUUUGAAGAGGCAAUUUUAUUUUUUAUUAAGUUGGAAAAACUGGAUAAACACAUCCCUAAUACUAGCAAGAAGUCAAACGCAAUCGCGUGAAAAGUGCAUUAAAGUUUUGAUCUUACCACUUCCCCUUUUUUUACUAAAGAAAAAAAAUUCCUGCAAAGGCCUUUCACACAGAUUACACAUAUAUAGAUGUAGAUAGCCAUGAUUUCAUUUUAGUGAAUAGCAACACAUUGCACAUUUAGUAAAGUGAACAUAUUCAUUGUAUGAAAUGGCUACAUUAAAUUAUUUCAGGAGUUAACAAAAUAUUAAACUUCCUUUAACUUUGAACACCAUUGUGUAUUAACAUAGAAAUUGACCAAUUUGGGACAGUAAAAUCAUUACUCUUGACAAGCGAACAGAUCAGUGCGUUUGACACAUUUAACAUUAAUUUUAAGUUAUUUAAAAAUCGGAGCAGAGGAACAAGAUGUUAUAAAAAUGAUACUGAUGAAAUUUCUGCUCUUUUAACAAAUAGUGUGUGUUAACAUUG
rnacentral:lncRNA from 1 species